UUCUCUUUUGAUUGAGAGACCUAAAAAUACUCGAAAAUUCAAGUUAAAAUUAAUCACAAAUUCCUCCCAUUGAAAUCUAUUUAAAGACUUCAAAUCUCUUGAUUUUUCUCACUAAAAAAUCACCAAAGUUUGGUGCCCUUUUUCCCCUUAUUUUGUUCUGGGGUUAUCGAUGGUUUAAUUUUGCUUUGGCCAUCGAAAAUCAAAUCAAAUCCCAUCCA
rnacentral:lncRNA from 1 species